UACGGGGGGGGUAAGCGUUGUUCGGAAUUACUGGGCGUAAAGGGCUCGUAGGCGGCCAACUAAGUCAUACGUGAAAUCCCUCAGCUUAACUGGGGAACUGCGUGUGAUACUGGAUGGCUUGGAUUUGGGAGAGGGAUGCGGAAUUCCAGGUGUAGCGGUGAAAUGCGUAGAUAUCUGGAGGAACACCGGUGGCGAAGGCGGCAUCCUGGACCAAUUCUGACGCUGAGGAGCGAAAGCCAGGGGAGCAAACGGG
rnacentral:rRNA from 1 species